UACGUAGGGUGCGAGCGUUGUCCGGAAUUACUGGGCGUAAAGAGUGCGUAGGCGGUUCGUUAUGUCUGCUGUGAAAGCCCCGGGCUUAACCCGGGAAUGGCAGUGGAAACUGGCGGGCUUGAGUGUGGCAGAGGGGGGUGGAAUUCCUGGUGUAGCGGUGAAAUGCGCAGAUAUCAGGAGGAACACCGGUGGCGAAGGCGGGUCUCUGGGCCGAUACUGACGCUGAGGAGCGAAAGCGUGGGGAGCGAACAGG
rnacentral:rRNA from 1 species